CCGUGCACGGCUAUGCCUCUCAACGUCUGUGUCUGUUAUUCUGUGUACUGCGCCAGGCAAAUCGACUGUUUUCACGGUUAAAAUCUACUUCUUAGAGGUAUUGUCCAGCCAGGCCAUCACACCACUGAUUGUCCACUCUCCGGGCCAGUCUCAAAGCCAGUCGUCAACCCAUUCAGCCUUUGCCGACUUGUGUACGCCUCUGACAAGUCUGUAGCUAUGGCUGCACCCGAAAACGGGUAUCGCUGGAAGCAGUUCAGCCUGCCCAACAGAAUCAAGAUACAGUACCUCAUCUUCUGGCAUGUGCAGAUCGCCUGCAUGAGAAGCAUCAAUGUAGCAGAUACUGCGAUAUCAUCUUCAGGUUACUUGGUUCCCUUGGAAACGUUCUCGUCAUCACAGCGUUUGUAUUUCUGUUUAAUGAUGACAAUUUCAAGAUAUCUGAUAAUCUAGCUAUUGGUGGUGCAGCUCUAUCCCUCCUGGCAAAUAUUGGAAAAUUACUAACCGAACGCAACCGGAGGAACGACAACAGGAGGUGCAUCAAGAAUGACGUCCUCCCAGUGGUUCCUGUCCGAAGAGUUGCUCUUGAUGAAAUCACACUCAUGGCAUUGCAAUCUGAAGAGUCGGCAUUGUCGUUUUUGACGACGUACUGCAGAUGCGACUGUUGUCGUCCUGUGUGCUGCUUGUGUUGUUGUCAAGAGCCUUGUCUCAGGGAUGACCCGCUGGAGCCUCUGUGUACGAUGGAUCCCUGUAGGUGUCUUUGCUGCCAAUGCACAUGUGCACCCUGCCCAAGUUGCUGUCAGUAUUUGUGUUCCUGUCUCGCCUUCCAACCAACGUUUGAAUUCAUGGAGAGUACAUACAACAUCGUGUCUUCCGGGUGGGUGUUAUGCAGCAAUGUUAGAGCUAUAAGUGAUCGGGUUCAAAAUAAGAAAUCACCCACAUCCUUCGAGCAGCUGAGUUUGGGGAACAAAGUCUUAGAAAGUAUUGAUGUCUCAUUUGCCAUCUUUUCUCUUCUAUUAUCUCUUGCCAUUGUCGUUUGGACUUGUUGUAAGUGCUGUAGAGGAACAAACGAGCGUCCUGUUGUGCAGAUCAGACAUUUGUCAACAGAACUUAUGCGAUGAUUAUGUAAAUAUCCGUUCCUUUUAACAGAACUGUUUAUACCUGCCUGCAGACCCUGUGGAGGUACAUUACAGAGAUCAGUAGAUGAGAACUUAUUACUAAGCACCUGUUAUUAUGAAUACA
rnacentral:lncRNA from 1 species